AAGCAUCCCUUUUUUACUGUACCGAAGUCUAAUUUAUAAAUACUUUUCUUAUUCUUUUUAUGUGCUAAGGGACUUUGUCCCUAAAUGGUGACAAUUUUUAUCUUGAUUUCUUCUAGCACGUGGCUGUGGUCCAGCCUGCAUUUACCCUGGGGUGUGUGGACACCAGUGAUGCUGUUGCCGGUGCCACUGGUCGAAGAGUUGUUCCACUGGGUGCUUUGGCACUUUUGCUGAGAAGCAAGUGACCAUGUGGGAGGGAGUCUGUCCCCGAGUGCUCAUCCCACCCCACAGGUCUGUUUGCUGACUGUACGUUGGGAGUCUGCAGCCACUGCUGGGAUCAGGAUGUCCCCCAAGGGCCGCAUGUCAAAGGCUUGGCCCACAGCUCAGCAAUGUGGGGCCUCAUGGGAGGCCUGGGGUCAUGGGGCUGCCCUUGCCCAUGACAGUGGAGCCCAGCCCCUUCUUCCUUCUCUCUCUCUCUCUCUCUCUCUCUCUCUCUUCCUCACCAUGAGGUGACCAGUUUUAGUCCAUCACAGAUGCCCUCAUCAUCCCCAGAGCCCCAAAGCAAUGGUUCCACCUGGCCAUGGACUGCCUUCUUCAAAACUGUGAGCCAGAAUAAGCCUUCACCCUUUAUAAGCUUUGGGACUUCAGCAGAUGUGCGUGUUAAACAGGUAAGGGCUUUUUGAAAUCAGCACAGCAACUAGGGAAAAGAAGGCUGUAGUAUGAGCAUCCUCCGUGCCGAGCCCCAGGUCGAAGUGACCACCGCUGUACACAGGCACCAUGCGCCCCGGGGGGCACCUUGAUGGGCUGAGACGCGGCUGGUGGCCCAGCUGUCGUGGGCUCUGGCUGGGGGCUCGUGGCCUGAUCUGGAAUCCUGUACAGUGCAAUGAAUGGACUAAUUUCAAAUAGAUGUAUUUAUUAAAAGAUGGAACCGGAGCACCCCGAGUGGCCUCCAUGCUGGUGAGCAAGGAGCCGGACCAGGCCAACGUGGCUCCGGGGUAAAAAGACUGCCAUUCUAUCCCCACGCCAGGAGUCGCAGCAGCCCCGUGUGCCCGCAGAUGGAAGCGUCCCUCCAGCUGGAUCCCUGGCGCGCGUCCUCCCUCCAAAUUAUGGGAGAGGAAACUCAAUAUUAUUUUAGGACUGGCCUCUGCAUAAUUGGAGAGCAGAGAAGAAUCUGCCGCUUAUAUUACACAGAACUGACCCACCGCUGUCCUCUGCCAUAGCCGUGCUCGCGGAGGGACCUGAGCCGCCAGCUAGGCCUUUCUGGACAGUCACAGCCCCACCCCACGCCCAGGAGGAGGGAGGAGGACCUCAAAACGGUCCGGUGGCCGCCCGUGGGGGAGGCGGAGCCCCUCUGCAGGAGGGCGUGGCCUCCUUCCCCAGAGAGCCUUGUCAUUGGCUGGGAGUAGCCUGGGGAUGUGGUGGGCGUGGCCCAGGUGUGGCCUUGGCACUGUGCUCCUCCGCCUCCUUCAGGAGGUCUGAAACCAGGUCUGCCGGGCGGGGCGGCUGCAUCCAGGGCUCUAGAGCAGGGAGGGUGGCAGUGACCCGCAGGGGACUCCACUGGCCCCUCCCCACCUGCGAACAGACCUGGCCUACCUGCCUGGACGCACAGGGUCCCAGCCAAGCCCGAAAAUGAGCACAGAGACCGAAGACCUGCAGCGGAAGGUCAGUGUGAGCCCCAUCUGUGAGACACACGCGCAGAGCCACGCAGCCGCUGCCUCCACGUGGCCACGGGGUUUUCUUCAAUCACCCAGAAUGGAAGGCUGUGCCCAUUCAGUGGCCACUCCUCGCUUGUCCCUGACCCUGCAACCGCCCUUCUGCCCCAGCUCUGGAGCCGCCUGUCCUGGAGACGCAUUGCAGAACACGUGGCUUCUCUCAUCUGCUCUGGGUCCUCCAGGCCCACUGUGUCACAGCGUGGCCAGCGCUCCAUGGAACAAAGCUCUGUUGUCACACACUGAGCCACCAGAUGCACACUCGGUGUAGAUCCAUGGUUCAUCAGAUGACCUGAUUCUGAAACCCACUGUGGCUGUCUGUGACAGGGGAGAGGGGACAGAUGCUGGCCUCGUAUAUGGUGACUUGGUGUCGCUGCCACCUCUGACCCUUCCCGGGAAAAGCCAGGACAUCACAGGCCCCUCUGGCCCGACUCUAGCCUGUCUCCAGCUCCUGGGUUUGAGGCCUUUCUGAGGCUGCUGUUGUGAUCUGAAUUUUGUCAACAACACUGCAAGGGUCCAAGAGGAGCCAAGUGGAGCCGGAGGGCAGAGAGAGGUCUCAGAAAGUUCCUGCAUGCAGCGUCCCCUUUCCCGGGUGGCUGGGGAUGCUGCAACCUGAGGCUGGCAGUGGACCCCACCUGAUGGCCAUGUGGGCCGAGGACAGAGGUGGCAACAGGCCUUCCACACUGGUCACCCCUCCCCUGAGCUCCUGGCCUCACAGAACCCCCGACCCUCAUCUGCUGAUGACAUCUAGAAGCCACGCCGGGCAAGGUCAUGAUGCCGGCCCAAGGUCACAGCUGUGCCAGGUGUGUGAGGGGCCAGGGCGCAGCGAGUUGCUCCCACAUGGACUCGCACACAGGCCGCUGUCCUGGCUCCAGGUAGUCCCGGUCACUCAGGGCCUGUUGCCAUGCAAGCUGAAGCAGGCUGGUUCCUCUGAGGCUCUGGGCCCUUUCUGGCUUCCAGCAGCUGCCGCAACCCUAGGCUGCGCCCUCCAUCUUCAGAGCCUGUGCCCAGCGCCUGGGAUGCCACGUGUCCCUGCACCUCCCGUGGAUCCAGGGGUCCUCUCGGCGUGGAGGACCUUGGUGAGGACUGUGCGUGCCUGGAUGGUCCCCACCUCAUGAUCCAUGCCUUUGCAUGGAUGCAGACAGAGCCGCUGCUCCUGGGAUGAGGGCGCAGGUGUCUGUGGGGCCGUCAUUCUACUGACCACAGGCUGCCCAGCCUCCCCGCUUGUUAGGUCCUGGCGGCCUCAUGGACGGGGAAACUGAGGCCCAUGGUGGAAAGGUGACCCUCUCAGGCACCCGUAGCCAUCAGGGAGGAGUGCCUGGUCUUCCCAGGCCUGGCUGAGGGCGGCAGGCAUUGCCAGGUAGCACCCAGGCCCUGAUUUGGGACAUGGCCUGUAUGGGGCUGAGAUCGGGCCCUGUCCAGGUCCUUGCAUGGCUGGAGCUGUACAGAUCGUGCCACAGGGCAGUGUCAGGGGGCAACAGGGUGGGAGAGGGGUCGUGGCAGGAGGGUCCAGGUGGGAGGCCACCAUCAGCCGUGGCAUCUCUGAGGCCAGGUGUGGGGGAGCUGCGCCUCCUUCACCUGUGGAAACUUGGGCAGCUCUGGGUGCGGGUGGAGGGGACAUUCACAUGUGGAGUUUGCCCCCCGAGGCUGUGCAGAGCUCACCUGCUGACCUCAGGCCACACUGGGGUCCCCUCAAGGGGUGUGUGUGGUGUGUACUGUGCGAUGUGUGCAGCACGUGUGUGUGUAUGUGUAGCAGGUGUGGAGUGCACUGUGUAGGUGUGCACGUAGGCAGGGUGCAUAUGUGUGUGCAUGUGUGAGGUGUGGUGUUGCCACGCGUGGUGCACACCUGCUCUGUGUGUACUGUGCACACGUGUGUGGGCUGUCAGCUGCUGCGUGGGGAGCUCGGCCGUGGCCUCUGCACAGCCCCAUCUGUCCACCGUCGUCUGGCCUUGUCCCAUCUCUGUCGGUGGCGGGUGCUGCUUGCUGGCUCCGGGUCUCUGGGCCCGAGCUCCUGGCCAGCGCGGGAUGUGUAGCUGCUCACGCCCUUUUUCCACAUGGCUGGGACCCUCGGCCUCCUGGCACAGUGGUGUGGUCUGCAGACCUUUCCAAGUGAAGCAAUGGAAAUGGAUCAGAGGCUGUGCUUGCCUGGGCCCCGUGCCUGGGGUGGGGGCUGACACCCUGGGCUGUUCUCUGGCUUGGCAGGGUCCUGGGGCUAGGACAGAGACCUUUGUACACACACAAAACACACAUGAUCAUGCUGGUGUUGGACACAUGUGAAACACACAUGCACAUGUGGCGAUGCUGGGGCCGCUGGGGCCUGAUGUGACCUUCCCCAGGCAGUGGCAGGAGAGCUGGGGUCCCGGGGGGUGGCACAGCCUAGGGAGGUUCCCCGGAUCCACGCCAGGUCCUGGACCCCAAACUGCACCAUCACGAGGCCCUGAUGGCUGCCCCACCUGGGAUCCCUGAGGUGCUGGGGUCCCGGGAGGUGGGCAGGCAGCCCAGGGGUUAGCCCUGCCCACAGCUCAGCUGGACUUCUGCCUGCAGAUGGGGAGAAAACACAUUCCUGCCGCUCUGAGUCCCUUUGUCCGGGCAGCCCGAGGAAGCGCACAGAGAUGGGGGACAGGAAGACGUGCUCAGCUUCCCUGGGACGCAGAAACACUCAGGGGCACCGCGGUCAUGCUUCCGGCCUGCCUGGCUCCUGCAGGCUGUCCAGCUGGCAACGGGAAGGGUGGACGGCAGGGAGGACUGCUGGCAGGGUGCAGAGUGCAGACAGGCCCGUGUCGCCCAGCGGGGCACUGGAAGGGCCUGUGCCCUGUCCAGCCCGAGGGCCUUACGGGGGCUCCUUUCUCCUGCUUGCUGCCCCGUGAACUCCCGCAGGGCAGGCUGUGGUUCUGGGGACCAGGCAAGUCCUGGUCUGGAGCUGUGGUGGUGGCGGCAUGCAUGGUGUUGGCUGCCCACCUUGCCCUUUCUUCUGCAGCAGGGGCACAGCCCGUUCUGGGCUCAAAGGACUGUGAGCCGGGCAGCCACCGAGAGGGCUCUGACCCGAGAGGUGCCUGUGCUCUAGAGGCCAUGGGCACGAGGGUCCCUCCCCUCCCGGCCCCUGAAACUUGCCCCAGAGGCUGGCGCUGCCCUGGCCCAGCCCCUCGGCAGGCGUCCCCUUCCCUAAGGAAGCCAGAGCACAGGGCUGCGGUGGAGCCAGGAACUCCUGUCCCCAGAGACGUCUGCCAGGCACCGCUGAAGAAAGAGUAGAAACGGAAUAAAAAUUCUUCUUUAAUGUUCUCGGCUGCUAAGUUCAGCACUUUAGCCAGAAAUCCGAGCGAGUGCUUUCAGGAAGCUGCUCCAAAACCCCGCCCCUCAUGCUGCAGCCUGGGCCAAGAAUAAUGGGAACAGAUGCGCCAUUUUCCUGUGCAGCCUCCAGGGCCUCGGCCAGGUCGCUAGAGGAUAUGGGAGCGGGCACAGCGGGACAGGGUGAAUGGGCGGGCAGGAACAAGGGCCAGGACAGGGGAGGUGUCGUGGGUCACCUGGGCGGUCUGCGGGCGGGGUGUCCUCUGAGAGGCCAGCCACAUCUACCGCCCAGGACCUUGCUGGCCAGCGUGCGGGAGAGGGAAGAGGCUGUGCGGUGGCGGGGUCUGGCACGUUCCCUGAGCAUUGCAUGGAGCAUGGAAAUGCCUUGAUUGGGCCCAGGUGGCAGGAGCAGCCUGCCUGGAACUCAGCUCCAGGUGGGGCCUGAGGCUGGGAGGGCCGUGAUGGGCCCAUGUCACACGCAAAUGGCCCUGGGCCGCAGUUGUUCCCUCUCUCAGCCCCACCCAUCCCACCCAGGUGCCUGGGGCCCCGGACCACCUGAGCCUGAGCAGAACACUUGGCAGCUGUCUUCCCCUGAAUCCUCCAGGAGAGGAGCAGGCCCCGGGCAGCUUUGGGACCAGGCCCGAGAGUCAGUGGGACACAGCUGGUGUGAGCCCAUGGUGUGAUCCCACAGGUGUGAGCCACUGGUGUGAGCCCAAGGCCUGCAGCCGGCUCAGCUGAGCAUGGACCAGAGCGGACCCAGUCCAGCUCAGCAGGGCGAGAAACACAUUUAUCCCCGUGUAGCCUGAGCCAGGUGGCUACUUAUUACAAAGCAGUAGCUGACUAAUGCAGCUCAAACUCCAGUACGGACUUUCCUCCUUUAACAAUCUACUUGUUUAACGACUGUUUGGACUUCUCAUCCUUUUUUUUUUUUGGUACUGUUCUAUACAUCUUGUUUACAGAGCCUCAGUGUGUUUCUUUGUACAGUUCGCCUUGUUUGUAUGUUACUGUGAUUUUUGCUGAUUGUACUGCACAGCGCACAGUACUGUAGUUCUAUGUUCUGUUGUUUGUUACAGUACUACAUCUAAGAGUUAUGCAAAUAAAAGCAAAGUCAUCCA